UCAUCUUAGAGUAUUCUAACCCACAUACUAAUUAAAUAGAUCUACUCUAUUUAAUCCAUAAUCAGAAAUUAAUAAACUAAUGAGUGUUGAACUGAUUUCAAUUAGACUUAAAUAUAGGAGAAAUAAUAUCAAACCUGGGCUCAUUUAAGGAAAUAAGUAAGCCCUUUUCUAAUUAUAUCCAGCCCAACAUUUCGGCCCACCUUAAGGAAUAAAUUCAGCCCAAGCAAGAGGCCCACCUCUUCUCUUUUUUUUUUUAGUCAGGAACGGCUGAAAGGAUCAGCACUCUCUCCUUCAUGCCAAAUUCGUCGCCGCCGCUGACUCUUUUAGCUCCGGCGAACGGCCGCCUCCGCCACUCUGAAAUCCGGCGUUUCUUCUCUCAACUCCGGCGACUGAUUGUCGCCAUUCCUUUCUCGCAUUCUCUCCCUGUUUUGCGAUCUCUCUCUCUCUCUCGAAAGUCGCCGCCUCUGAAAGCCGCGCCGCCGGCGACGGCCAUUUGGCGUCCUCAUCUUCCCUGCCGUCACGCCCUUCGUCCCACCUCUCUUCUCGUGCUUUUCCUCCCGAUCCCCAAAUUUCAGAAAACACACAUUGUCAAUUGGAAACGAAACGGAGCCCUAAUCCUCUUCUCAAACUCAAUCUGCUGCUUCGCCCAUCCGGUUCCGGCGAGGCCCCGCUGUUAAGCAUUCCAGCGCCGCCGCGCUUUCCUUGGCCGGAAAUCGCCUCUCCGUUGAGCCCUAGCUCUACCUCCUGCCGACGCGGUUAGCCCUAGCCUCCCUCUCUUUUCCUCGCGGUUAGCGUCGACAUCAAACCGGCAUCCGUCCCCGUUCAAUGAAAAUCAGACGAUGGGGACUCUUAAAGUUGGCAGAGCAGCAGCUUAAUGAAUUCUCCUCACUUUGGUGGCUGAAGGAACAGAGAAUGAAGGCAAGGAGUGUUGGCUAGUAGCCUUAAAGAAUCGAAGAUGGUGGAGGUGGUGGGUGAUUGAGGAGAUGGCUGUCAUAGGGUGGCUGAUUGACACAUAUGUGUACUUUGGUAUGGUUGGUUAAAGGGAUGGGAGAGCGGGCUAUUUUGCACACACAUAGCACAGGUCCCCUUUCUUUCCGUUUCUUUGGUUUGCUUUUUUGAUGUAGUAGGUAGGAAAUAGGGAUGCAGGGAAUAGUAAGUUGUAAAGUUGUGAUGUGAUGAAUAAAAUUCUUCAGUGUUACUCA